UUGACUUAACCGAGCAUCAUGGUUGGUCGAGUCCCUCGAGGCCAUGGUGAUUCGGAGGCCGAACAGGACGGGAAUCACAAGGAGUUGUGAUCGGCAAGAGUUGCUUACCUUUUAGGCUUAGUGUGAUUGGUCGAGUCCCUCGAGGUUACACUAAGACGCUGAUUGGAUCCUGAUCCCCACUAGAAGUCUGUCGGAGACUUCCGUUUCACGUGCUGAGGGUGUCGCGUGACUCGUCAGUAAAAUAGUGGGAGCAUAUUAAGAUAGAAGUUCAUAUCUUGAUAGUUUAUUUCUUGUAAAAUCUGCAUGUUAUUCAUUUCUGCUGCAUCUUUAUUUU
rnacentral:lncRNA from 1 species